AAAAAAACCAAAAAAAAAAGAUCUAAGCGUUUAAAAAAUGUGCAAACUGCGAAAGGAAGGAACGCGGAUACAGUUGAGCUUAUUGUGUUGCGUUCGAAUGAAAAUAAAGUCGAGAAAACAAAAACCUCAACAACAAAACGAUAACGGGGAUGCGAGGUAAUGGAAGAUUCAUACAGGAUGAAUCGUUGGAAUCCUGAGGGAGAACAAGAUUCUCCAGGAGACAAUGCCAUCCCCUUGACGACGGCAAACAAAACUGCAACUUGAACUCUGAGGCCUAAUCAGCAGGCCCAUGUACCAGGCUGUCUCAUGCUGUUUCCUAAA